rnacentral:lncRNA from 1 species
CGGAGGCGCGCCCUCUCAGGGUGGUGGGUCAAUGCCUGGUGGCCCGAGCAGGGCACGUGACCAGGGCGCGGAAAUUGUUUCAAAAUCAAGAUUUUAUUGAUGUCUGGACUUUAGAUAUUUCUACAAAGUGAAGAUCAGAGUUGGAUAGUAGAGGUAUUCCCCCCUGCAAAUACCUACCUUUCUGUUAAUGGCCGUAUGACAUCACCACAGACAUUUUACAAUACAGC